rnacentral:lncRNA from 1 species
GUGAAGUAGAGAACCACACGAGGUGGAGCUUGGGGGAGUAGCCGUGGGGCUCGGAUUCAACGUCGACAUCGCGCCGCGGAGCCGUUCGAGGAUACGGUUGCAGUCGUAGCAUCGCGAGGAGUCCGGGCGAGGGCGUGGUUUCGCCGUUCUCGACGUCGCCCCGCGUUGGAUUUAGCAUACGAGGUGGGUUUAUCAUCGGAAUCCUACUCCUAUAAUAUUGUUCAUCGACAUGUAUCGUUAAUAUUACAAGUUGUUAUUGUUUGUUUAGCUCAAAUUCAUAAGUAGGUAUGUUUUAGACAUAUAAACUGAAUUGGGAGCAUGUUAUUAGUUGUUAUUAAUCAUACAUGUGGGACUUGGAUAAAACAUAGGAGAAAAUCGGCGUUCGGAAUCUGGCAUAUGUUGAAUUACUUGAUUUAGCCUUAGGGGCCGUUGUAUUUUUAUACAGUUAUUGUAUUCGGGUUGUGAGUACCCCAGGUAGUUUAGAAGACAUUUACGCUCGUGCUGAGAUGCCGAGCUUAUUUUUCAGCAGAGUUUAGGCUGUUUCGGGUCGUUGGGUGCCGUUCGGGUUAGCGGUGGACCCAGAUUCUUGUUUUGGUCACAGAUUGUGCCGAGGGCACGUGGGUUUGGUUUGUAGACCUGUUUUGACCAUGUUUACUUGAUUUUGGCUAGUUGGAGCCUGAUUGAGCUCGACAGAGAUACGCUGCAUACUCGGUUGGGUAGCGCCCACGAGUGCCACUCCGGAGUCAGGCUUUGUGCUUUCGCGUUUGUGUCGCUCAUGCCAGUUGGACCUGCUCUCCACGGACCAGUUAGUGUGGAUAGAGCUUGACAGUCACAACGGGGCAGGGACGGGUGUAUUCACAGUCCCGGGGACGGGUAUGCUUACAGUCCCGAUUAGAUUGGGUCAGGUUGGACAUUUCCUACAGUUGGUUAGUGUAGAGCAUGAUAGUGUAGUAUUUGAUAGCGGUAGACUUUAUUCCUGCAUUUCACUACUAUUCUUGCUCCCUUCUGUAGACUUAGUGGGUAGACCGAUGUUGUUUUGGGCGGUACCCACUGAGGACUACUUGUUUUUACAGUAGUUCUCACGCCCAGUUGUUACCUAUGUUUUUGCAGAGCCACAGGUUCCGGCUGCUGCACCGUCCGCGGAUCAGGAUCGAGGCAAGGGCGUUGCGAGUUAGAGCCCUAUCCGACGUGCUGAGCUAGAGAUGCUCCUACUGCAGGUAGAUGUUUUGUUUCGAGUUUAUGUACAUAGUGGACUUAACUCGCCAGUGCGAGUAGCUUUGUAUUUUGGAUCUGGACUAUGUAUAUGAAACUCAGUUUGUUUAGCUUCUGUUCUCUCCAGCAGCUCUCUACUACUGUUCGUGGUAGUGUUUGAUUUUCUGGUACAGCUAUCGCUUCGUAUACAGGGAAAAUUCCUUUGUAUACGGCGGAUUUGUCGGCGCGCCCGGGGAAAGUGUAAUCCGGGGCGUGACAGUACGCUUUGGUGAAUUGAUUAUAUAUUUCUAACAGCUCGAGCUUUUGGGAUUAAUAGUUAACGCCAACGAUCCGACAAGUGGUAUUAGAGUCAGAGGUCACUGGUUCGAUUCCCGCAUGCUGCAAAUAUGUUCAGGUGUUGGAGGGGAGAUUGUUAGCUUAAAUGAGUAAAUGAGUCAACAUCAUGCCCUGUGGCGGGAGACCAUGUUGGGCCGAGUCAUAUUCGAAAUGGCGUGGGGCUGGGUGGGCCGAGUCAUGUUCAACGGCGCUGUAUCUAUACGCUAAAGUUUUAGACUUUAACAUGACACAGGGCGGGAGACCAUGUUGGGCGGAGUCAUAUUCGAAAUGGCGUGAAGUUGGGUGGGCCGAGUCAUGUUCCACGGCGCUGUACCUGUAUGCUAAAGUUUUAGACUUUAACAUGACACAGGGCGGGAGACCAUAUUGGGCCGAGUCAUAUUCGAAAUGGCGUGAGGCUGGAUGGGCCGAGUCACAUUCGACGAUGCUGUAUCUGUACGCUAAAGUUUUAGACUUUAACAUGACGGUGCUGUAUCUGUACGCUAAAAUUUUAGACUUUAAUUUUACCCUAAUAUGGAGUUUCACGUAACACAGUUAUAUGUAAAAUUCAUGAUAUGUAGAAAACUAACACGGUACCUGCACUAGAAGUAACAUAUAAAUAUUUUAAUUAAGUUCUCCUUUUAAUUACACUUGUAACUUUCGAAUUCUAGGCGAACUGCGAUUGGUUAGGCCAGUUACUCAAAAGUUUGGUGGUGUAUAUGAUACAUAAAACAAUGGUAUUAGUACUUAUUUGAAAUUUCCUGAUAAUUUCACUGCAGAGAGAUUAAUCCAAGUACCUAACACCAGGCUCGUUAUUUAAAGCUAGGCUCGGUUUUUUUGUACAUGAAUAUGCAUCCAUCAUGAAAUCAACACUUGAUUUUUUUUCCGUAUACCACCAUCACGUUCACAGUUGACUCACAUGACUUUGCUUUGAAGUAAGCAAUGCUUGUCUUAAUAAAGGACAUUAAUGUUCACUCACCACAGUUCAUAGGAUCCAGUUUAAGGUUAACUUCAUAGAAAAAUACUUUGUUAUAUAAAUUCUAUAAUUUUAUAGGAGUUUUACUGAGCUAUUAACAGUAGUAAAUGGCAGG